AUUGAACGCUGGCGGCAUGCCUUACACAUGCAAGUCGGACGAGUGGCGAACGGGUGAGUAACAUAUCGGCACGUACCGAGUAAUUGGGUAUAACUAAUCGAAAGAUUAGCUAAUACCGCAUAUUAUUCGAGCGGCCGAUAUCUGAUUAGCUGGUUGGUGGGGUAAAGGCAUACCAAGGCGACGAUCAGUAGCGGGUCUGAGAGGAUGAUCCGCCACACUGGGACUGAGACACGGCCCAGACUCCUACGGGAGGCAGCAGUGGGGAAUUUUGGACAAUGGGCGCAAGCCUGAUCCAGCCAUGCCGCGUGUGUGAAGAAGGCCCUAGGGUUGUAAAGUACGUUCGGUCGGGAGGCGGUACCGACAGAAGAAGCACCGGCUAACUCCGUGCCAGCAGCCGCGGUAAUAC
rnacentral:rRNA from 1 species